UGGGGAAUCUUGCGCAAUGGGCGAAAGCCUGACGCAGCCAUGCCGCGUGAAUGAUGAAGGUCUUAGGAUUGUAAAAUUCUUUCACCGGGGACGAUAAUGGCGGUACCCGGAGAAGAAGCCCCGGCUAACUUCGUGCCAGCAGCCGCGGUAAUACGAAGGGGGCUAGCGUUGCUCGGAAUUACUGGGCGUAAAGGGAGCGUAGGCGGACAUUUAAGUCAGGGGUGAAAUCCCGGGGCUCAACCUCGGAAUUGCCUUUGAUACUGGGUGUCUUGAGUGUGAGAGAGGUAUGUGGAACUCCGAGUGUAGAGGUGAAAUUCGUAGAUAUUCGGAAGAACACCAGUGGCGAAGGCGACAUGCUGGCUCAUUACUGACGCUGAGGCUCGAAAGCGUGGGGAGCAAACAGGAUUAGAUACCCUGGUAGUCCACGCCGUAAACGAUGAUUGCUAGUUGUCGGGAUGCAUGCAUUUCGGUGACGCAGCUAACGCAUUAAGCAAUCCGCCUGGGGAGUACGGUCGCAAGAUUAAAACUCAAAGGAAUUGACGGGGUCAUAGCUGUUUCCUG
rnacentral:rRNA from 1 species